rnacentral:rRNA from 1 species
AUUGAACGCUGGCGGCAGGCUUAACACAUGCAAGUCGAGCGGGGUGAUGGUGCUUGCACUAUCACUUAGCGGCGGACGGGUGAGUAAUGCUUAGAAAUCUGCCUAUUAGUGGGGGACAACAUCUCGAAAGGGAUGCUAAUACCGCAUACGUCCUACGGGAGAAAGCAGGGGAUCACUUGUGACCUUGCGCUAAUAGAUGAGCCUAAGUCGGAUUAGCUAGUUGGUGGGGUAAAGGCCUACCAAGGCGACGAUCUAUCGCGGGUCUGAGAGGAUGAUCCGCCACACUGGGACGGAGACACGGCCCAGACUCCUACGGGAGGCAGCAGUGGGGAAUAUUGGACAAUGGGGGGAACCCUGAUCCAGCCAUGCCGCGUGUGUGAAGAAGGCCUUAUGGUUGUAAAGCACUUUAAGCGAGGAGGAGGCUCUUUUGGUUAAUACCCAAGAUGAGUGGACGUUACUCGCAGAAUAAGCACCGGCUAACUCUGUGCCAGCAGCCGCCGUAA